UAGCGUAGGGUGCAAGCGUUAUCCGGAAUUAUUGGGCGUAAAGAGCUCGUAGGCGGUUUGUCGCGUCUGCUGAUGAAAACUGGAGGCUCAACCUCCAGCCUGCAGUGGGUACGGGCAAACUAGAGUGCGGUAGGGGAGAUUGGAAUUCCUGGUGUAGCGGUGGAGUGCGCAGAUAUCAGGAGGAACACCGAUGGCGAAGGCAGAUCUCUGGGCCGUAACUGACGCUGAGGAGCGAAAGCAUGGGGAGCGAACAGG
rnacentral:rRNA from 1 species